ACAUGAACGCUGGCGGCAGCCUAACACAUGCAAGUCGAACGGUAACAGGAAGCAGCUUGCUGCUUCGCUGACGAGUGGCGGACGGGUGAGUAAUGUCUGGGAAACUGCCUGAUGGAGGGGGAUAACUACUGGAAACGGUAGCUAAUACCGCAUAACGUCGCAAGACCAAAGAGGGGGACCUUCGGGCCUCUUGCCAUCGGAUGUGCCCAGAUGGGAUUAGCUUGUUGGUGGGGUAACGGCUCACCAAGGCGACGAUCCCUAGCUGGUCUGAGAGGAUGACCAGCCACACUGGAACUGAGACACGGUCCAGACUCCUACGGGAGGCAGCAGUGGGGAAUAUUGCACAAUGGGCGCAAGCCUGAUGCAGCCAUGCCGCGUGUAUGAAGAAGGCCUUCGGGUUGUAAAGUACUUUCAGCGGGGAGGAAGGGAGUAAAGUUAAUACCUUUGCUCAUUGACGUUACCCGCAGAAGAAGCACCGGCUAACUCCGUGCCAGCAGCCGCGGUAAUACGGAGGGUGCAAGCGUUAAUCGGAAUUACUGGGCGUAAAGCGCACGCAGGCGGUUUGUUAAGUCAGAUGUGAAAUCCCCGGGCUCAACCUGGGAACUGCAUCUGAUACUGGCAAGCUUGAGUCUCGUAGAGGGGGGUAGAAUUCCAGGUGUAGCGGUGAAAUGCGUAGAGAUCUGGAGGAAUACCGGUGGCGAAGGCGGCCCCCUGGACGAAGACUGACGCUCAGGUGCGAAAGCGUGGGAGCAACAG
rnacentral:rRNA from 1 species